UGGGGAAUAUUGGGCAAUGGGCGCAAGCCUGACCCAGCCAUGCCGCGUGAGUGAUGAAGGCCUUAGGGUUGUAAAGCUCUUUCAGUGGUGAAGAUGAUGACUGUAACCACAAAAGAAGCCCCGGCUAACUUCGUGCCAGCAGCCGCGGUAAUACGAAGGGGGCUAGCGUUGUUCGGAUUUACUGGGCGUAAAGCGCACGCAGGCGGCUUAACAAGUUGGAGGUGAAAUCCCAGGGCUUAACCCUGGAACUGCCUUCAAAACUGUUAAGCUAGAGAUCGAGAGAGGAUAGUGGAAUUCCUAGUGUAGAGGUGAAAUUCGUAGAUAUUAGGAGGAACACCAGUGGCGAAGGCGGCUAUCUGGCUCGAUACUGACGCUCAUGUGCGAAAGCGUGGGGAGCAAA
rnacentral:rRNA from 1 species